GUCUCGUCUUUCGGCGAUUCCACCUGGAGGUGAUGGCCGGUACGUCACGAUCGGCGCGCCGAUAUCGUCGGACCGAUCGAGUUCACACGGCGGCACGCGAAAUCGCGUUAUUAGCGUCGACACCUUUUGCUUUCACCGCUCCUUUUUACCGCCGUAAUCCGAGCCGUCCGAGUCGACCGCGCGCACCGGAUAAUUGACGACGUACCUUGAAAAAUCGACACGCUCGAGACCUGGCAACUUUCUAUACACGCGACUGUCCCGCCGAUGUGCAACCUCUUCGCAGCAACGUGAGCAGCACUGUGUAACGUGUAACGAUCACCGUGACUCGAGUUUUACAGAGGAAGCUGCUUAGGUCGCGCCAUCAGUAAAUAUGCUUCUGUGUUUAGUUUGUAAAUACCGAUUGAAUCCUCGACAACGUGUGCUUUGUAUACACAGUACUUCAGAGGCUCACUUAAGUCAUCUGCUAUCUACGAAUUUCUCAACUACUCGACAUUUUUCAUAAUUAAAGUGUCGAGAGAUCGGUAGUUUUCCAGAUACAAGAACUCGUGUGUAAAUGAAGCACUUUUCGCGGACUCAAUAUCAAAGGGUGCAAGCAGGGCAACCCCGUUAGGUGCUAUCGCGGUCUCCGGCCGUCAAUCAAGCGACUUUCUACGAGCCGGUAUUAUCGUGAACCACGCCGGCCGGUCUUCCCUCUAAACGCGUACCGCCGAUCGAUUCGUACAGCCUGAUUAGCCGCGGCAGAGGUAAGUGUCACACGACAUUGAACUUUCCACGUCCUCUCUCUCCUGUUCUUUCCCUCUCUCCUUCUCUCUCUCCCCCUUCCUCCUUCUCUCUCUCCCCCUUCCUCCUUCUCUCCCUCCUUGUUCGCGACUUCGCGUCGCCCCGGCGUUUGCAUUCGGGUUUCUCCCGUUCUUUUCUCUCUCUCUCUUUCUCCCUCUCUCUCUUCUCGCCGGCGUUUUUCUUUCUUGGACGAACUGGUUCGCCCGGCCUGGAUAUUUUUAGCGUCGAGCCUGUUUAUGGGGUCAACACCACGCACGCCAUGGACACACAAAGGCGCGCGCGCACACGUGGGACCGGGGACGCAAACCUCACGGGAGAAGCAAAGCAGCAGCAGUAGCAACUUUGACGAUGACGACGACGACGACGACUGUAUGUGAAUGUGGCGAAGAUGUCUGUCUGGCCGCCGCCAGCACCGUCGGGAUUCUUCCGAGGAAUUUUUAUCGCACUCGGCGGCUUGAAUAAUCUCAGGGUUAUCGCGCGCAAUCCCGCGCGCUCUACGAGCACUUUAUAAUGAUUUAUUUCCGUCGGAAGAACGUUCAAAUUGUUUGAAUUAUUGAACAACUCGUGACGCUUCCGUCAGACCAUUAUCCGCGGAGUUCGCGAUCUUUCAAGCUCGGUCAUCGAGUAGAAUGAAAGAAAAGCGCGCGAAUUUUAUUAGUUUUUUUUUUCAUCAUGGCCGCUGUAGUUUGAGAUAUAUAAUAAGAUGUUGCGGUAUAUUCAUGUCUCGUCUUUUGCUCUUCCCGGAUAUAUUAAAGCACGAAGUUAGAAAUUU